rnacentral:rRNA from 1 species
GUUGAUCCUGCGGGAGAUUGCUGCUAUUGGGAUUCGACUAAGCCAUGCAAGUCCAGGGGUCGCAAGACACCGGCAGACUGCUCAGUAACACGUCGAUAAUCUGCCCUCAGAUCCAUGACAACCUUGGGAAACUGAAGCUAAACAUGGAUAGGGGAUGGAGGCUGGAAUGCGCCAUCCCUGAAACGCAAGGUCUGAGGAUGAGUCGGCGGCUGAUUAGGUAGUUGGAGAGGUAACGGCUCACCAAGCCGAAGAUCAGUACGGGCCAUGAGAGUGGUAGCCCGGAGAAGGGUCCUGAGACACAGACCCUAGCCCUACGGGGUGCAGCAGGCGAAAACUUUACAAUGCACGAAAGUGUGAUAAGGGAAUCCCAAGUGCGUGUGUACUGCACACGCUUUUGCCACGAGUAAAUAUCUUGGCGAAUAAGCUGGGAAAGACUGGUGCCAGCAGCCGCGGUAACCCCAGCGCCACAAGUGGCAAUCACAAUUACUGGGCCUAAAGCGUCCGUAGCCGGCCUGAUGAAUCUUUUGUGAAAUCAUGGGGCUUAACUCCAUGACGUGCAGGAGACACUGUCAGGCUUGGGACCGGGAGGAGUCAGAGGUAUUCCGGGGGGAGCGGUAAAAUGUUAUAAUCCUCGGCAGACCACCUGUGGCGAAGGCGUCUGACUAGAACGGAUUCGACGGUGAGGGACGAAGGCUGGGGGAGCAAAACGGAUUAGAUACCCGAGUAGUCCCAGCUGUAAACGCUGCAAGCUAGGUGUUGCAUAUUCUUCGUGAGUAUGCAGUGUCGUAGUGAAGACGUUAAGCUUGCCGCCUGGGAAGUACGGUCGCAAGACUGAAACUUAAAGGAAUUGGCGGGGGAGCACUACAAGGGGUGCGGCGUGCGGUUUAAUCUAACUCAACGCAGAGAAUCUUACCAGGAGCGACGGAAGGAUGAAAGUCAGGCUGAAGACCUUACUUGACGAUCCGAGAGGUAGUGCAUGGCCGUCGUCAGCUCGUGCCGUAAGGUGUCCUGUUAAGUCAGGCAACGAGCGAGACCUGCGUUUACAAUUGCUAACGACAGCUUGCUGGAUUGAGCACAUUGUAAGGACUGCCCUGGAAACAGGGAGGAAGGUGCAGGCUACGGUAGGUCUGUAUGCUCCGAAUCCUCUGGGCUACACGCGCGCAACAAUGGUAAGGACACUGGGAUGCAACUCCGAGAGGAGAAGCCAAGCCUCGAAACCUUAUCCUAGUCCAGAUUGAGGGCUGUAACUCGCCCUCAUGACGCUGGAAUCCCUAGUAAUCGGAACUCAUCACAUUCCGGUGAAUAUGUCCCUGCUCCUUGCACACACCGCCCGUCAAACCAACCGAGCAGGGUUUAGAUGAGCCGUGGUUUCCUUGAUCACGUCAAAUCUAAGCUCAGUGAGGUGGGUUAAGUCGUCACAAGGUA